rnacentral:rRNA from 1 species
AGUCGUACGCUGAAGCCUGCUUCGGUGGGUGGUGAGUGGCGAACGGGUGAGUAACACGUGGGUAAUCUGCCUUGUACUCUGGGAUAAGCCCGGGAAACUGGGUCUAAUACCGGAUAGGACCAUUCCUCGCAUGGGGGGUGGUGGAAAGCUCCGGCGGUAUGAGUUGAGCCCGCGGCCUAUCAGCUUGUUGGUGGGGUGAUGGCCUACCAAGGCGGUGACGGGUAGCCGGCCUGAGAGGGUGACCGGCCACACUGGGACUGAGACACGGCCCAGACUCCUACGGGAGGCAGCAGUGGGGAAUAUUGCACAAUGGGCGCAAGCCUGAUGCAGCGACGCCGCGUGAGGGAUGACGGCCUUCGGGUUGUAAACCUCUUUCGCCAGGGACGAAGGGUGAUACUGACGGUACCUGGAGAAGAAGCACCGGCUAACUACGUGCCAGCAGCCGCGGUAAUACGUAGGGUGCAAGCGUUGUCCGGAAUUAUUGGGCGUAAAGAGCUCGUAGGCGGUGUGUCGCGUCUGCCGUGGAAACCUACAGCUUAACUGUGGGCGUGCGGUGGAUACGGGCAUCACUUGAGUUCGGC